CGAGCCGGCCGGGCGGCCGCGGCGAGCUGCACGCGGCUCGUCGAGGAAAGUCCGGGCUCCACAGGGCAGGGUGGUGGGUAACACCCACCCGGGGUGACCCGCGGGACAGUGCCACAGAAAACAGACCGCCGCCGCACCGGUUGCUGCCGACGCAGCGGUAAGGGUGAAACGGUGGUGUAAGAGACCACCAGCAUUCCCGGUGACGGGGAUGGCUCGGUAAACCCCACCCGGAGCAAGGCCAAGAGGGCCGGGAGCAUGCUUCCGGCCUGCGCAGGCGCUCGAGGACGGCCCGUCCGAGCCUGCGGGUAGGCCGCACGAGGCUGUCGGCGACGGCAGCCCCAGAUGGAUGGUCGCCGGCCCGCCGCUAGGCGGGUGCACAGAACCCGGCUUACAGGCCGACUCGUCCG
rnacentral:RNase_P_RNA from 1 species